UCCCGUGUGGCUCAGUUGGUAGAGCAUGGUGUUUGCAACGCCAGGGUUGUGGAUUCGAUUCCCACGGGGA
rnacentral:tRNA from 1 species